UCCGUUUGUUGCACUGCAGAGCAGAGAUCGGAUCCGAGCCGAUCUGAUCAUUGAUCUCUCUGUUACUGUUACUGUUACUGUUACUGUUACUUCACUCUGGUUUACUUGAUUCACUCUGUUACUAUGUUACUAUUUGUUACUGUUACGUUAUUCCAUUCCCUUAUACGGUACGUUCCGAUCUUCCAUAGAUUUGAACAAUUGAUGGCUUUUAUGAUUCUCUUCCUUUUUUUUACUUUCACUGUUUUAAUUUAUGGAGGAAUUUUGAUUGCUGUUGUAUUACGAUUUUUCAAAAUUGUUGUUAUUACUAGUUUUUAACGGAUGGACUGUUAUUUUUAGCAUGCAUGUGCAAAAUCUGUUUGUUUUUAGCUUAUAAUUCAUGUAGAUCUGUUUAGAUCUAAAUUUUUUUUUAUGGAUUUUGAUUUCAGAUCAUCAACGAUCGUGAAACUGGUAGAUCAAGGGGAUUUGGCUUUGUUACCUUCAGUGAUGAGAAAGCAAUGAGGGAUGCGAUUGAAGGAAUGAACGGCCAGAACCUUGACGGCCGUAACAUCACCGUUAAUGAAGCUCAAUCACGCGGCAGCGGUGGUGGUGGCGGUGGUUUCGGAGGUGGCAGACGCCGUGAGGGUGGAUACAGUGGAGGUGGCGGAUACGGUGGUGGUGGUAGUUACGGAGGUGGCAGACGCGAGGGUGGCUACAGUGGCGGCGGUGGUGGCUAUGGUGGUGGUUACGGAGGUGGCCGUGACCGUGGAUAUGGUGGCGGUUAUGGUGGUGGUGAUGGUGGGUCCCGCUACUCAAGAGGUGGAGGUGCAUCCGAGGGAAGCUGGAGGAAUUAGAUUUAAGAUUCUGAAACUGGGUUUAAUUAAUUGUGUCUAAUAUAUGUCCUCCUUUAGAUAGUUUUUAAAUUUGGUGACUAUAUUUCUGGGUUGGGUAAAAGUCUAUUUUUGUUAUAGUUUUUAAAUUUGGUGACUAUAUUUCUGUGUUGGGUAAAAGUCUAUUUUUGUUACUGUGGCUCGUGUUACUGUUCUGGUUUCUCGUUAUUGGUUCUCGUUAUGUUACUGUGUGGAUCUGUACUUACAAGUUUAAACGAAGGUUACCAAUGAUCACUCAUUUUUAAGUGCCUAUAUAUUGGAUGGAAUUUGAUGUAAUUGCUUCACUGAAGAGUUUUAUGUAUUUUCUACUUGAAUCAAGACUAGUAAUCAAUUGUUAUUAGCUUAUAGGGAUAAUUUCCAC
rnacentral:lncRNA from 1 species